CGGCAACAUGUGAGUUACAUAAGUAAUCUUCAAGAUCUCAAUGUUCUAUCUAUAUUGUUAAAAUGAGAAGAAGAUUACCCUGCACCAACACGAGCGAGUUCACCUGCAAAACAUAGCCAACCCGAGCUUCUUAAAUAAAAGAAAUAUGAAAGAGAUAUUUCAACUCUGCUCUCUCUCACAACGUUACAUAUAUACCGUAUAGUUGAAUAUAGUCCGAGGGAAUGAAGAAGGGAAUAACUGAAACAUCAAUUACUUAGCAUAAUUCUAUUCAUAACUUUCUCAAGUAAGAAACAUGAAUCUCAACUUUGAAAAAUCAUUAUCUCAACUUUGAAAAAUCAUAUAAAAUCAACCUUUUCAAAGAAAAAUGCAAGCUUUACCUUUUAAGAAAGCUAUUAAAGUCUAUCUUUAUUAGAAAGUUACAAAAAUACAAUAUCUUCUCAAGUGUAUAAGAAAUUAUCUCACAAAAUGCAGAAUCUGCCACAGAACCUUGCUGCUUCGCGCAGUACUUUUAAGAAAAUUGUUUGACAUAUCUAACGGUGUCCAAUUUAGCUGAAAUUUUACAGAAACCUCCUACUCAUGCUGAAGUUAUUACAGUAAAAAUUUCAAGUUAUUUGGACAAUAGGAACACUCUCGAAAAUCCCUCACAAGACAUUGGUUUGUCCAGCCAAACUUGACAGCAAUACAGUUUCUGUUGAAACUCAACAUAUAACUCAUAUUUUGGCCAAAUAAAAGCUAUAAGAUCUCAAAUACAUCAUCUUACUACACAUUAGCAUGCUUUAGCUUGAAAUUUAAAUCAUAUUUAACUCAUCAACACCAAGAAAGCAAGUUAUAACACAACCAAUCACCACAAGUUCUCCACUCAAUACUAAAAGUCGUUCUUCCCUUAUUCAUAAAUCAAAAUUGGCUCAACACAUAGUAACAUGCUCAAUAUCCCCCAAUUUCUAUCAUAUAAUCACAUUCCACGCUCCCAAGAGUUCAAUU
rnacentral:lncRNA from 1 species